rnacentral:lncRNA from 1 species
UCUCUCUCUCUCUGUCUCUCUCUCUCUCUCUGUCUCUCUCUCUCAAAAACAAGAGCAAAAUAUGAAAAUCAAAACAAAUGAACAAACAAAAAGCCAUCAAAUCAAACAAAAGAACAACACAAGUUUCAGAGAUCAAAUAUUUACUGGCACACAGCACUGCAGAAGUAGGCAAGCCUCUCUCCUGAAUCAUGUGGGUCACUAUGUGGAGCAUCUAAGUUUGAUAACUAUAAUCAAAGGAGUAUGACUUUCAAAAUGACAGUAAUAAGAUUCUCUACUAAAAUGUGCUGCUCUUACAGUAGAGAACUGAAAUCUUUCAAACAUGGGCUCUAUUCAGAAAUUGUAGAAGGCAUCACAUAAGCACUAGCUAGGGAAUAUUGCUGUCUGUCCCUUCUCUGUACUCCUCCAUUGUUGCUAACACCCUUCUUAGGCUCUUGUCACAGCCCAUCACUCCCUGCUUGAUCCAGCCUCGCCCACAGCAUCCCUUGUCUGACCUCUAACGAGCUCCCUCAAUGCCCUUUCUGCGUCCACUCUUGCCCUUCACCAUUGUUCACGCUUCAAAAUGAAAUACUUGCCCUUAAAGGGCUCACAGAAAAGACUUCAGACUUGUAUUCCAUGUCAGCUCUCAUAUCUGCUCAGUUUCUGAGGUAUAACAUGAAGCCAAUGACACCAAGAUCAAGCCAGUCAUGGACAAUAAAUAACAGAAUUCAUUGCUCAUAUUCCUACAAAGUCCAUUGGCCAAAGCACCAAUCCUUGGUAAAUAUUUUUUUAACGCUUAUCUAUCUACUUGGUGUGGAACGAUGGUGCUACAGUAUGUGCAGAAGUCAGAGAGCAAAUCUCCCACCACCCAUUGGAUUCUAGAUAUCUAACACUGGCGUUCAGCUUUCGUUUCAAGCUCCUUUACCCUCUGAUCCAUCUCUCAAUUUCACAUCUUGUUGGAAAACGACAUCUUGGACCACAUCAGUAUCUUGCCUAUGGUUGUGCUCUUCCCCACAGUUUUAGACUGAUAAAAAAAAAAGAAUCUUUUCCUGUAUCAGAUGCACAAUGAGUGCAGGUGCCAGCCCUCUGGGGCUCUGUGAGCCAGGAAGAUGAUUGAAGACCCCUGUAUGUACAAACUGAGACGAAAAGGUAGCAAUCUGACUUCUAGAAAUCACAAAUUCUCCUUUGACUUCAGUUUUCAAAAUAGAAUUCAAAAUUCUGCAAAUAUCUGUGGUACCAAUUUGUUGUGGAUUAGACCCUAUGUGGGUUUAUUCCAGCCUCCUGCUGACCCAGAAGAGUCGCCUCCCAGUGCUUUGCAGAGCUGACUCCUCACUCUCUGUCCUUUGUUGGAACUAAUUACUUAGAUCGCAAGAGAUCUUAACAAGCCAUCUAAUGGUUCUUCUUGUUGAACUGUGAGUCUCCAAGGUUUCCACUUAUUUCAGGGCUAUUCAUAUUAUACAAGAAUGUUCAGGGCGAAUAGUUGACCUGAGAAUGGAUAAAGGGGACUCUGAAGGAGGAAAGCCAUUUCUUAUUCUGGCAGCCUUCAAACAUUAUCCUGUGAACUUCAAAGUCUAGCUGUGGCCUUUUUCAAGGCAAAAAGUUGAUGACCUGGGAGUGACUUGCUAGAUGCAGGUGGCCCGUAGAAGUAAUAACGCAGGACCUCGCCCAUCACUGGAAUGGGUGAUCUGUGGCAAAACUCUUAGAGUCCUUGACAAUAUGUUGACAGCAUUCCCUCCUGAAAGGUCAGAAAACAAUGAAAACUAAAUAUGCAGUUUGGACUCUGCUGUGGUUCUGUGCUCCAUGUGCUUUGUCAUGAGGGAGUACGAAAAGCGGGUAAGAAAAUAUCGGCGAAGACUAGAGUGGUGUGCAUUCUCCGUAUUACUCAGGAGAACGGAAUUACCCUUUCUCCCAGCGUAUUUCCGAAGUCAGCUGCAGUGCCAGAGCCAAGGAGAAAGGGAAUCCGUUUUCACAGUUGUGUCUGGAACUAAACUUUGCUGCAGAGUGGGAACCCUGCAGCCAUUCUUUGUUGUGAAACCCUUCUGGGUUUCUGAGCUGCCGUGGAAAGCUGUUCAACACUGGCAAUGCCCAGGAGAGAACUUAAGAAAGUGAGCUGAGGUCUUUCACCCUGAAUGGAUCAUCUGGCAAGUGGGACUGGCUGUCCAGGACAUUCGUAGCUGUAGACAAAGGAGCUCAUUUGUUUUGUCUCAUUCACAAACCAGCACCCUGUGUAUUUUAUUCUACGUCAUACAUCUUCGAAGGAAUGAUGAUUGAAUCAAUAUUAUUUCUAAUGAUAAGGAAAAUAAAUGCCAGAGCAUUGCUUUAUCAUGUGUAGCAUUUUUAUGAAGUAUAUGCUAUAGCUAUAGAUAUCAGCUAUAUACAGAAAAGAAUAUGUAUCAUAGAUUAUAUGUAUAUAGUAAACUACAAAUGAAAAAUCCACAUAGAGGUAGUAUAUAGAAACAAAAGAGCCAUAUUUGAGCAUUUCAAUGUUUACAGCGGGCUUACCUUCCUUUCUCAAAAUGAAAGGUUGCUUCUA